AAAGUCGUAACAAGGUUUCCGUAGGUGAACCUGCGGAAGGAUCAUUACCAAAAGAAAAAAAAACCCCUUGGGCCCCGCUUGUAGGGACCCUGCCUGCGGACGGGGACUCGUUCCCCCGACGCGGCAGCGGUUUCCUCUCGCGGGCGCUCAUCCCACACCUUGUGAACCCAAUGUAUCGUCCUUGGGGGGUCUCGGCCCCCCAAACAAAACCUUUAUGAAACACCUUUUGAUAAACCCAUUGAUGGAAACUUUUCUUAUUGAUUUAAAGAAAAAUCGACAACAACUUUUAACGGUGGAUCUCUUGGCUCGU
rnacentral:misc_RNA from 1 species